rnacentral:rRNA from 1 species
AUUGAACGCUGGCGGCAGGCUUAACACAUGCAAGUCGAGCGGGGUGAUGGUGCUUGCACUAUCACUUAGCGGCGGACGGGUGAGUAAUGCUUAGGAAUCUGCCUAUUAGUGGGGGACAACAUCUCGAAAGGGAUGCUAAUACCGCAUACGUCCUACGGGAGAAAGCAGGGGAUCACUUGUGACCUUGCGCUAAUAGAUGAGCAUAAGUCGGAUUAGCUAGUUGGUGGGGUAAAGGCCGACCAAGGCGACGAGCUGUAGCGGGUCUGAGAGGAUGAUCCGCAACACUGGGACUGAGACACGGCCCAGCAUCCUACGGGAGGCAGCAGUGGGGAAUAUUGGACAAUGGGGGGAACCCUGAUCCAGCCAUGCCGCGUGUGUGAAGAAGGCCUUAUGGUUGUAAAGCACUUUAAGCGAGGAGGAGGCUCUUUUGGUUAAUACCCAAGAUGAGUGGACGUUACUCGCAGAAUAAGCACCGGCUAACUCUGUGCCAGCAGCCGCCGUAA